rnacentral:sRNA from 1 species
CCUUUGAUAUUAUCUUUCAAUUGGACCCUCAUCUUCAUUCGCUGGCGGCUCUCUCUCCUAGCUUCGGUACUGAGAUAAACCUUGCAAAUGUCUACCAUCUUCAAAAAUGUCGUUGUUGCUUCGGCAGGCGGGGUAGUAGGGUCUGCCAUUGUAUCCGCGCUGUUAAAGUCCCCGCACGGAUAUUCUGUGUCAACUCUCUCCCGGGAGGGAUCCAGCUACAGCCCACCAGCAGGCGUCACAGGCCUCAAAAGUGAUUACACGCACGGUUCCCUCGUUCAAGCGCUAAAGGGCCAGGAUGUGGUUGUAUCGGCCAUUGCAGGCGCCGCCGUACCCGAGCAGACCAAGGUAAUUGAUGCUGCAAUCGAGGCAGGAGUAAAGAGGUUCAUUCCGAGCGAUUUUGGCAGCGAAACGCGGAAUAAGAACUCGCAUUCGCGCGUGCCUUUUUUCGUGCUGAAGGACCAGGUCCAAAAAUACCUCCUGGAGAAGCAGGAAAAGAUCGAGUGGACGAUUUUCCUUUCUGGACCCUUUUUAGAUGAAACCCUGAAAACAGACUUCCUCGGCUUCGACAUCGCCAACAAAACUACAACCUUCUGGGACGAGAGGUACAAAAACGUUCCCUUCUCAACCUCGCGCCUCCCCCUCCUCGCUGACGCAAUCUCACAAUCCCUCGCUCCCACCAUCUCUCCAAACACAGCCAACCGUGUCCUCGCUAUCCGCGACUUCACCGUGACCUUCGCGGAGAUACUCAACGC